GUGCUCUCUUCGGCAGCACAUAUACUAGGAUCGGAACUAUACAGAGAAGAUUAGCAUGGCGGCUGUGCAAGGAUAACACGCAAAUUUGUGAAGCGUUCCGUAUUUUU